rnacentral:rRNA from 1 species
AUAUGCUUGUCCCGAAGCUUAAGCCAUGCAUGUCUCCGAAUAACUAGUAGCUUGAUCCCGAAUCUGCGAACGGCUCCGUAUAUCUGUUGUAACCCGCCACCGCCUAGGCUACUGCGGCAUAACCACGGUAAUUCUGUGGCUAAUACGUGUACCCCCAGGGCCCCCCCACCCAGGGGGGCCCCGGACUCGCCGCCCAACCAACGCAGGUUCGCCCUGUCGCGCGAGAGCUGGCGAGUGCCCCUUACCGCAGCCGGCCUGUGGAGCGUGUGACGGGCUUCAGACCUAUCAACUAGAUGGCCAGGGAUAGCCUGGCCACGGUUAUUACGGGUACAGAGGAUCAGGGUUCGGUCCUGGAGAGGUAGCCUGAGAGAUCGCUACUACUUCUAAGGAAGGCAGCAGGCGCGCAACGUUCCCAAUGGGGAUACCCUGAGGACGUGAAGGGACAUACCAAUGCCCGGCCCUUAAAGCCGGGCAAUUGGAAUGGGGGACCUCUAAACCCCACACCGAGUAACAAUUGGAGGACAAGUCUGGUGCCAGCACCCGCGGUAAUUCCAGCUCCAAUAGCAUCUAAUUAAGUUGUUGCAGUUAAAACGCUCGUAGUCGAAGCCAGUGCGUCCCGGGCCCUCCCAGUACUGCCGGGGCGGCCGCCCUCCGAAAGGACGGGCGGCUCCCUGAUCGGGAGCGGAGUGGGCUGGGCCACUAGAUGCAGGGGGAACCGGCGGGCGGGGCUUCAGUGCCCCGCCCUCCGCCCCCGGCACGUUACCUUGAAUAAAUGUGAGCGCUCCAAGCAGGCCAUCUCGGCCCUUCUAACCCGCAGCAAAGAAUAACGGAACUGGGCCCUCCCGGAUCCGGUGGUUUCCUGGCGGACAAUGGUCUAUAGGGGGGAUCGGGGCAGGCCACAUGGCGGGGGUAGGGGUGAAAUCCGUUGAUCCUCGCCAGGUGAACUAGAGCGAAGGCAGCCUGCAAGUACCCAUCCUUUGAUCAAGAACGAAAGUCUGGGGAUCGAAGAUGAUCAGAUACCAUCGUAGUCCAGACCCUAAAUCAUGCCGGCCAUGGAUGGGCAUUCGUCCAUCCCGACCCUGCCCGCACCUUAUGGGAAACCAAAAGCGUCUGGGCUCCGGGGGGAGUAUGGUCGCAAGACUGAAACUUAAAGGAAUUGACGGAAGAGCACACAAGGAGUGGAGCCUGCGCUUUAAUUUGACUCAACACGGGGAAACUCACUAGGGCAGGAGGGGGGUAGGAUGGACAGCCGAUCAGGGCUUUCCUGAUUCCUCCAGUGGUGGUGCAUGGUCGUUCUUAGUUCGUGGAUUGAUUUGUCUGGUCUAUUCCGCUAACGAGCGAGAACCCACCCUCUCGAGGUUAGGCGCCUGGGCACGCCCGCGGACCC